CUUUCCCUGAAUCAGUAUUAAAUGUAUGUUUCUGUUACAGCUACAGCUCUUUCACAAAGUUUUGUCAAUGAUGGGUUGGGGAAAAUCAUUUAUACUCUAAGAUGUGAAAUAUAGCUCCUGAUGGGAACUUAAACUUAGCAGAAAUUGUUCAGUAGAUUGUACCAGUGAGAAUGAUGUGCAGUAGGAAUUUCACCAAGGCUGCAAUGGGAAGGACUUGUCCUUCUUCUGCUUCAGAUAGGGCACAGUGAGACCUGCCAAUAGAGGACCUCCAGAGCACUGUAUGGGCAGCCAAGGAGCAAUUCUCACUUUUUUUUUAGGCAGUGCAUGUCAGUCAAUCUGCACGGUGCCAUGCCACGCCUGCCCCUUGGACACAGAACCAGUGUCCCCAGGCAGUGCUGUCAUUUCAUGUAACCCAGCUGCUUUGUGCUGCUGCACUUAAUGGACACCACCAACCAGUAUAGUCACUGAGCUCUGGGUUCAGGUGCUGACUCCACCAAGCCAAAGAAUAUUUGCCAUUGAUAUGAGCCCUCAGUCAGAGCACGUGACAUUUUCCAUUACAGUACCUGCCUAACAAAGCAUUUGUAAUUCAGCAUCAAAAUUUACUCCAAACCUAGUCUUGAGGGACAUACCUUUGCUGUGUUCUAAGGCUUUUUUCAUGUUUAAUUUUGUUAUUGAAAUAUUUUUGUUUCUAUUUUCUUCCUGUUUUGUGCCCCAUCAAUUAAAAACACACAAAUAAGGAAAGGCAUUAGUAUUUACUGGGGUUAUGUACUACAUAUUUUUCACUCAGUUUGGCUUUGUUCCAUUUUCAUAAACUUUGAAUUGCAGCCUUAUAGUUCAAAUUGUACUUUCUGAAACAUGCAAUAAACAUAAUGCUCUACUAAACACUAAAGAGACUUUAGUCCAGAGAGACUCCUUCUCAUAAAUUUCUUUAUUAUAGGUAUUUUUUUGAACACACCCUAGAUAGUUUUGUCUUUGCUUUUCUGUAUUUGCUUCAUAUUGCUUUCAUCCAACUAGCACAACUCCAGGUACUUAAUUGGAACAUUUUUUAGGGUUUCUUACAUAAAUUCAAGCAUUAUUGUCUUCUGGUUAUUUUUUAGUAGUGCACUCAAAACUGUCAAACUCAUUAUAGAGCAGUCACUCCUGUUAACUCUUUUUUUGCUUUGUGCUCCAUCAGUAAUACACAAAUAAUUACUUUGGAUCUGAACUUCUCUGACUGACUGGUGGUUCAGUGAAUGCACAGAAAAAACAGAAAACUCAGCAGGUGCUGACCAGUCCAUUACACACUCACAAAGUUGUCUUCAAGUUGCCACUGAUUCUGAAAACCACAGCUACUCUGAUUUUUUGGUGCAAUAUGAUACAAUACUACAUUGCAUAGGGUAUACAUAUUUACCCAUGGAAAGACUGAAAAUCAUAGUAUUUCUACUGCAGGCAUCAAGGUUUUUCUGUGGCAUCUAACCAGUAGCUGGAAAGUCUUGUCUCAUGUCAGUAAGGACAAGACUGAACUACAUUUAAUGCAAGG